rnacentral:rRNA from 1 species
GAAAAGUCUGACGGAGCAACGCCGCGUGAGUGAAGAAGGUUUUCGGAUCGUAAAGCUCUGUCUUCAGGGACGAAUGUGCUUAAUGUGAAUAAUGUUAAGUAAUGACGGUACCUGAGGAGGAAGCCACGGCUAACUACGUGCCAGCAGCCGCGGUAAUACGUAGGUGGCAAGCGUUGUCCGGAAUUAUUGGGCGUAAAGCGCGCGCAGGCGGGAAUGUAAGUCUGUCUUAAAAGUUCGGGGCUCAACCCCGUGAUGGGAUGGAAACUACAUUUCUUGAGUGCAGGAGAGGAAAGUGGAAUUCCUAGUGUAGCGGUGAAAUGCGUAGAUAUUAGGAGGAACACCAGUGGCGAAGGCGACUUUCUGGACUGUGUCUGACGCUGAGGCGCGAAAGCCAGGGGAGUGAACGGGAUUAGAUACCCCGGUAAUCCUGGCCGUAAACGAUGGGUACUAGGUGUAGGAGGUAUCGACCCCUUCUGUGCCGGAGUUAACGCAAUAAGUACCCCGCCUGGGGAGU